AGCAGCCGCGGUAAUUCCAGCUCCAAUAGCGUAUAUUAAAGUUGUUGCAGUUAAAAAGCUCGUAGUUGAAUUUCGGGAUCAAAUUGUUGGUCGUGCCUCGGUACGCACUGGUAUUAUUGGUUCCUACCUUCUGAAGAACCGCGAUGUCAUUAAUUUGGUGUCGUGGGGAAUCAGGACUGUUACUUUGAAAAAAUUAGAGUGUUUAAAGCAGGCUUACGCUUGAAUACAUUAGCAUGGAAUAAUGAAAUAGGACGUUUGAUUCUAUUUUGUUGGUUUCUAGGAUUGACGUAAUGAUUAAUAGGGAUAGUUGGGGGCAUUAGUAUUCAAUUGUCAGAGGUGAAAUUCUUGGAUUUAUUGAAGACUAACUACUGCGAAAGCAUUUGCCAAGGAUGUUUUCAUUAAUCAAGAACGAAAGUUAGGGGAUCGAAGACGAUCAGAUACCGUCGUAGUCUUAACCAUAAACUAUGCCGACUAGGGAUCG
rnacentral:rRNA from 1 species